GUAUUUUUAUUUUAUAAAAUUAACUAAUGUCUGGUCAUAAACGGUCGGUGCAGGUAAACAUCCAGUCCAGAUACCAAACACUAACGUUGGACAAAUGUUAGACCAAAGCAUAGUGUUGGUCAAAACGAAAAAAAAAAACGCUCAUCUCAGCUUUAACUGGCUUCUUCAUAUAUAACGUCACAUCCCAGUCGAAAACAACAUUCGUUCCACCAGUUCAACAUGUAAGUUUUUCCUCUUCCCUCUUUUAGUGCAAUUUCAAUUUCAUUUUUUUAAGGGUUUCUUUGUUGAUUUGCUUAGGGUACUGUUACUUUCGCUUAGAAUUUUUCUUUCCACAACAUUCCCUCACCCUUGACUAGAUAAGAUUGUUAGUCUAUCAAGGAUUUUAUAUAACAUAGCUGAAACGUAACAUGAUUGUUGGCCUCUAUCGACUCCAGGUAUGUUCUUCCAUUGCCAGUAUUUACAUUUUGUUUUUAACUUAGGACAAUCAGCAAUUUGUGUAUGUUGUUUAAUUAUAAACUCUCUUAGUUUCCCAUCAAAAAAAAAUCUUAGUUUGCAUCAGAAGUUAGAAACAUGGGUACUCAUCUUAUGUUCUCCCUCAGCCAAUUUUUCCAAAUUUCUUAAAAAAUUUAAAGUAGAAUCAGCGAUUUAUAUAUGUUGUUAGAUAUAUGAUGGGUACUCUUAACUUCAAGAGUUUACUACCACUCUGUUAGUUUUGCUAUGUGCGUUUUACUUUUCUUUAAUUCUAAUUUAAUUUUGUUGUUUUUAACGAUUAGUUUUACUUGAGUUUUUGAUGUAUUGUUGCAGAUUUUUAUUCGUGCGGAAAAGGCUACCAUCCAUCUCAGGUAAAUCACUUGAAUCAACUCUAAACUACCGUCUUUAUGUUGAGUUUUGAGAUUUAAAUGGCCUGUUAUUGUUAGUUAAAUCAACAAUAAACUACCCAUGUAUCUCAGGUAACUUAACUUCUACUUUCACUCUUUUCUGGGUUGAUCUUCUCCCAUAAGGUACUGAUCUUAAUUGCAUUGGUGACUGGGUUAGUGGGUUGUAGAGGUCGCAACAAAGAAAGAAGCUCAUGUAAGUACCAAACAAUUAAAGAGUCUCAAAAAGUUGGCAUGAAAUGGCUAUCUAAAUAUCUUCACAGUUGGGAAUUUUCUAGAUUUUCAACUUUAAAGUGCGUGUAUGGUCGAUACCAUAGGUUAUUGGUAUAAACUUAAGACCAUGCAAAUAAUUUACGCAACCAACAGCCAGAAAAUGAACAACAUUUAUCAAAAGGCUUAGACAUGAUAGAAUCACUUCAUCUCACUAUAGCAUGUUAUGUUGCACCGUGCUUAGUGUUCACAUGAGCAACUCAAAGUCUUUGGUUUGAUGUUUCUGGAGUUACAGCUCAGACCCAAGCCGGGAGGAAGGUAUAGUUGACUACUUUUACCUUAGUGCUUCACACUCUAGCUGUAAUUUUGCUUCCCAGUUAAAAGACCACAAAAUGAUGAGAAGUUUUAAAUCCAGAAUCAUUCUCUCCAGUUGGUAAAAGCAACAAACUGAUUGUUAUUUUUGGAUUUUGUUUGAAAACUAAUAAAUUCAUGCUCGAUAAUGUUUCAGGAGGAUCUGCUUCAUGCAACUAUUGAUAAUCCUAUCAAUGGAGUGAAUGUAUUGAUACAUAAUGAUAGACUGCUGAAACUUAAGAGGUUAGAUUUACACAACAGGCUCAUUUUUAAAAGCAUGUUCCUAUAUGACCUUAAGAAAACUUAUUUUCACUGAACAUGGAUGGUGAUGCCUUACUUUUUUUUUUGUCCUCACAUGCAUUGGUUUCAUUUCUGUUUGUUAGAAUUUUCAUAUCUACCGCAUAAAUGCUUUGCUACAUUUUUUACAAAUCUGUGUAUGCAGCUACCUGCGCAAUAUGAAGCUGUAGUUGUAUCUUCAUUGUAGGACAUGCAAGAAAGCAUCCCACUAGGAUCUCUUGCCUCUAACUAACUCCUUUAUAGCCAUGAGUACACAUAUGCAAAGUAAAUCUCUAACACUAUGUUGAUUCGUCGAGAGCAUCCCAGUCUUCUGGUACACAUCUUUUUUUUUUUGUCAGCAUAUUGGUUCUAACAAUCGUUUGUUUUUUGUUUUCUUAAUUUGAACUCAUUUUUAUGCAGUUAUUGUUCACUGGAAAAGUGGAAAGACAAGAUCUGAACCCUUCCCACAUUGCGAACGUAUUCUCAUUUUGUAGUUUCACUGAUUUUGAUUGUUUUAAUAUUCAAGGUUUCUCGAGUGGGAUAUUCUUUGGUUAUCACAAUGAUGUCAAACGCCUGCCGAAGUAUAGUCUUGCUGAUUUUUUUUUUCUCAUGUAAAGGUACCACCUACUCUGUGAAACACGUAUUCUGUGAAAGAAGUCCAAACUGAAUCAAAAAAGGGGGAAAACGGGUAUAUCCCUGAUAUCCGAGAUGCCGGACACUGGAUUACUGAGAGGGGAUUCACGAGUGGGAUUUUCUGGAAAAGCUGCUCAGCCUCCGGCUAUUGAAGAAGUUCGAGUUGUAUUGGACCGUAGCGUCUAGGGCAUGUGUUCAAUUUUAUCAUUAAUUUUUCAAGAGCCUGUGCCUACAUAACAUGUGAUGUUUAAUCGUAUAUGUAAUUCUGACUCUAAUAUGUAUUGCAAACGUAUUGUGUUUUGACAUCUCUUAGCAAUUUUCAGAAGAAAAUAAAUUUAAUUUUUUUUUUUGGCUC